rnacentral:rRNA from 1 species
AGGUAUGGCCUAAAAAUGUGGAAACUCCCCAUCUGAUCUCGGAAGCUAAGCAGGGUCGGGCCUGGUUAGUACUUGGAUGGGAACCCACCUAGGAAGACCAGGUGCUGUAGGCA